ensembl:lncRNA
UGAACACUUACUAUUGCAAAAUGUGGGAUCACCAUAUAAAGUGUGAUGGCAUGAUAGAUAUACAGCGCUGGGUAUUAUAAACUGAAUGUCAGAUUAAAUGAUAUAUUCCAAAGGCAAAUCAUACACUUGACAGACUCAGGUUCAUUUUAAAAUGCUUCCAUAUUAAGUACUUUUGAUAACUUUGCUUUUGGUUGACUCUUCAUCAAACUUGCAUUGCACUCCUCUUGGUAUUUUACCCUUUGCUCUUGAGCGGAAUCUCGCCAACUCUGUUAUACACUAUUUAUUAACAACUGUUCCACUGAAAUCUGUCUGCCUCUCAUAUCCAUCAGCAAUAAAAACUCAACCUCCUUUUGUCUGUGUGCCUGCCUCUGCUACAGGAAUGUGUCUAAUAGCCCCAUACACAUCUGAGCUUGCCUCUUCAUUAGGCUUUCAUGAAGUGGUGCUAGGCUGCGCGAGACCUCUCCAGCACCCGGCCCCCUGCUGUUCGGAGGGCCCUUGGGCGUCCCCACCAGCGCGCAGGACCUGGCUGACCCCCUCUCAGUUGCUGUGACGGGACGCCCGGAGCCAGCAUCCUAUCAGACAAACCUGGGAUAUGGGUCUGUGCAGAGGAGGAGGACGUAUGAGGAUUUGAAAUGCAGCCACAAGCAACAACACCACACCAAUUUAGAGAUUGUACAGCUGGAGUGGUUAAGAUGGAGUAAGACGAAGGGAUUUCUGGAUUUAUACUGUGAACACGUGGAUGCUCUGGAGCAGUCUUAAGGAGAAAUUACUUUAAAUUACAGUAAAUCUGCACUCAAAUAAAAUAAGGAAUUACGCUGAACAAUAGUAUGCCACCUUUAACAAUUAAAUGCCCUUUUGUAGAACAAAAAACAAGUAUGUGUUUGCAAAAGUCUGAAAAUUACCAGUUUAUAAUUUGAUUCUUGGCAGUUGAAUAUGUUAGACGAUGAUGUAUAUUUUGCUGAACUGUUGUAUGAAUGGGGGAUGUGGAAAAAGUGGCAGUGGAUGACCUGUGUUUCUCUUCAUCUAGCUAUAAUGUUGACUUAGAUAUUCAAUAUUAAUAACCUGCUGUCAAGGACACUGGAAGGACAUCUCAAUUUGACACUUAUAGGCUGGCCAUGAAUAUGUAAAGGCAAAGGAGAGCCUCGGAAUUACAAAGUAAAAUCAUGGUUCACACGGGGGGACUAAUGUGAUGUGGCACUCGCAUUCAGAUGAGCCACAAACCCAGCAGCUGAUCAGUCUCCACAGACUUGUUAACGGUCACAUAUUAGACCUGAGAAUCGUCUGCUGCGUUCACCUAAAUUCUGAAGCAGAAGCGCUGCCAAUGAGGUUUUUUUUUUCAUUUU